rnacentral:misc_RNA from 1 species
GAUGAAGAACGCAGCGAAAUGCGAUAAGUAAUGUGAAUUGCAGAAUUCAGUGAAUCAUCGAAUCUUUGAACGCACAUUGCGCCCGCCAGUAUUCUGGCGGGCAUGCCUGUUCGAGCGUCAUUUCAACCCUCAAGCUCUGCUUGUGUUGGGGUCCUGCGGCUGCCCGCAGGCCCUGAAACCCAGUGGCGGGCUCGCUAGUCACACCGAGCGCAGUAGCACAUCUCGCUCAGGGCGUGCGGCGGGUUCUUGCCGUAAAACAACCCCCCCUUUUCACCAAGGUUGACCUCGGAUCAGGUAGGAAUACCCGCUGAACUUAAGCAUAUCAAUAAGCGGAGGA